UUUGAUGGCGACCGGCGCACGGGUGAGUAACACGUAUCCAACCUGCCGAUGACUCGGGGAUAGCCUUUCGAAAGAAAGAUUAAUACCCGAUGGCAUAGUUCUUCCGCAUGGUAGAACUAUUAAAGAAUUUCGGUCAUCGAUGGGGAUGCGUUCCAUUAGGUUGUUGGCGGGUAACGGCCCACCAAGCCUUCGAUGGAUAGGGGUUCUGAGGGGAAGGUCCCCCACAUUGGAACUGAGACACGGUCCAA
rnacentral:rRNA from 1 species